rnacentral:rRNA from 1 species
AUUGCACAAUGGGCGCAAGCCUGAUGCAGCGACGCCGCGUGGGGGAUGACGGCCUUCGGGUUGUAAACCUCUUUCACCAUCGACGAAGGUCCGGGUUUUCUCGGAUUGACGGUAGGUGGAGAAGAAGCACCGGCCAACUACGUGCCAGCAGCCGCGGUAAUACGUAGGGUGCGAGCGUUGUCCGGAAUUACUGGGCGUAAAGAGCUCGUAGGUGGUUUGUCGCGUUGUUCGUGAAAUCUCACGGCUUAACUGUGAGCGUGCGGGCGAUACGGGCAGACUAGAGUACUGCAGGGGAGACUGGAAUUCCUGGUGUAGCGGUGGAAUGCGCAGAUAUCAGGAGGAACACCGGUGGCGAAGGCGGGUCUCUGGGCAGUAACUGACGCUGAGGAGCGAAAGCGUGGGGAGCGAACAGGAUUAGAUACCCUGGUAGUCCACGCCGUAAACGGUGGGUACUAGGUGUGGGUUUCCUUCCUUGGGAUCCGUGCCGUAGCUAACGCAUUAAGUACCCCGCCUGGGGAGUACGGCCGCAAGGCUAAAACUCAAAGGAAUUGACGGGGGCCCGCACAAGCGGCGGAGCAUGUGGAUUAAUUCGAUGCAACGCGAAGAACCUUACCUGGGUUUGACAUGCACAGGACGCGUCUAGAGAUAGGCGUUCCCUUGUGGCCUGUGUGCAGGUGGUGCAUGGCUGUCGUCAGCUCGUGUCGUGAGAUGUUGGGUUAAGUCCCGCAACGAGCGCAACCCUUGUCUCAUGUUGCCAGCGGGUAAUGCCGGGGACUCGUGAGAGACUGCCGGGGUCAACUCGGAGGAAGGUGGGGAUGACGUCAAGUCAUCAUGCCCCUUAUGUCCAGGGCUUCACACAUGCUACAAUGGCCGGUACAAAGGGCUGCGAUGCCGUAAGGUUAAGCGAAUCCUUUUAAAGCCGGUCUCAGUUCGGAUUGGGGUCUGCAACUCGACCCCAUGAAGUCGGAGUCGCUAGUAAUCGCAGAUCAGCAACGCUGCGGUGAAUACGUUCCC